UUCGCUUUUACCUGGCGAUCUGCUAAACACAUCCGCGCGUAGGUCCGGACUGCAACCGGGCCCUCUCUUCACAAGAGUGUCCCUGCGCG
rnacentral:sRNA from 16 species